CUGUAAGCCUGUGAAGGUGUGCUGUGAGGUAUGCUGGAGGUAUCAGAAGUGCGAAUGCUGACAUAAGUAACGAUAAAGCGGGUGAAAAGCCCGCUCGCCGGAAGACCAAGGGUUCCUGUCCAACGUUAAUCGGGGCAGGGUGAGUCGACCCCUAAGGCGAGGCCGAAAGGCGUAGUCGAUGGGAAACAGGUUAAUAUUCCUGUACUUGGUGUUACUGCGAAGGGGGGACGGAGAAGGCUAUGUUGGCCGGGCGACGGUUGUCCCGGUUUAAGCGUGUAGGCUGGUUUUCCAGGCAAAUCCGGAAAAUCAAGGCCGAGGCGUGAUGACGAGGCACUACGGUGCUGAAGCAACAAAUGCCCUGCUUCCAGGAAAAGCCUCUAAGCAUCAGGUAACAUCAAAUCGUACCCCAAACCGACACAGGUGGUCAGGUAGAGAAUACCAAGGCGCUUGAGAGAACUCGGGUGAAGGAACUAGGCAAAAUGGUGCCGUAACUUCGGGAGAAGGCACGCUGAUACGUAGGUGAAGCGACUUGCUCGUGGAGCUGAAAUCAGUCGAAGAUACCAGCUGGCUGCAACUGUUUAUUAAAAACACAGCACUGUGCAAACACGAAAGUGGACGUAUACGGUGUGACGCCUGCCCGGUGCCGGAAGGUUAAUUGAUGGGGUUAGCGCAAGCGAAGCUCUUGAUCGAAGCCCCGGUAAACGGCGGCCGUAACUAUAACGGUCCUAAGGUAGCGAAAUUCCUUGUCGGGUAAGUUCCGACCUGCACGAAUGGCGUAAUGAUGGCCAGGCUGUCUCCACCCGAGACUCAGUGAAAUUGAACUCGCUGUGAAGAUGCAGUGUACCCGCGGCAAGACGGAAAGACCCCGUGAACCUUUACUAUAGCUUGACACUGAACAUUGAGCCUUGAUGUGUAGGAUAGGUGGGAGGCUUUGAAGUGUGGACGCCAGUCUGCAUGGAGCCGACCUUGAAAUACCACCCUUUAAUGUUUGAUGUUCUAACGUGGACCCGUGAUCCGGGUUGCGGACAGUGUCUGGUGGGUAGUUUGACUGGGGCGGUCUCCUCCUAAAGAGUAACGGAGGAGCACGAAGGUUGGCUAAUCCUGGUCGGACAUCAGGAGGUUAGUGCAAUGGCAUAAGCCAGCUUGACUGCGAGCGUGACGGCGCGAGCAGGUGCGAAAGCAGGUCAUAGUGAUCCGGUGGUUCUGAAUGGAAGGGCCAUCGCUCAACGGAUAAAAGGUACUCCGGGGAUAACAGGCUGAUACCGCCCAAGAGUUCAUAUCGACGGCGGUGUUUGGCACCUCGAUGUCGGCUCAUCACAUCCUGGGGCUGAAGUAGGUCCCAAGGGUAUGGCUGUUCGCCAUUUAAAGUGGUACGCGAGCUGGGUUUAGAACGUCGUGAGACAGUUCGGUCCCUAUCUGCCGUGGGCGCUGGAGAACUGAGGGGGGCUGCUCCUAGUACGAGAGGACCGGAGUGGACGCAUCACUGGUGUUCGGGUUGUCAUGCCAAUGGCACUGCCCGGUAGCUAAAUGCGGAAGAGAUAAGUGCUGAAAGCAUCUAAGCACGAAACUUGCCCCGAGAUGAGUUCUCCCUGACCCUUUAAGGGUCCUGAAGGAACGUUGAAGACGACGACGUUGAUAGGCCGGGUGUGUAAGCGCAGCGAUGCGUUGAGCU
rnacentral:rRNA from 1 species